rnacentral:lncRNA from 1 species
CUCUAACUGCCAGGAGCUAAUAUUAGAAAUGGUUGUGUCCCCACAAGCUUUGUUUCUAAACAUGAUCCAAGAUGGCUAGAUCCUAUAAGCUGCCCUAGCCCAGCCCUUUUUACAAUGUAGUUACUAUCACUGUAUUCCAACUGUUUCAGAAUGGCAGUUGGUGACUGGCUUCUACUCCCCCCACCAGGAAUCAAGAUGUCUUUGAUUGUGUAUGGAAACCCCUAGGCAGAGCCAGUGACAAUGGCUGCUAUCCAGAGGAAUUACAACUGUCAGUUGAUGUCCCCAGGCAUACCACAAGACCAUUUCUUCUUUUAAGCUGUCUUUUAAUACAGUAAUACCAUGCUAAUUCAGAGCUAUAAUGAAGACGACUGCAGAUUCUCAAGCGAGAUGAAUAUGAAAGUGAAAUCAGGAUGAACAGCCAUGAUGUCAGAGCCCCAAAAGUACUCUGUUCUUUCUCUCUGAUAAAUGGACUUUCGUUUUAAUUAUUUAUGAGAUUAUUUGGUAAUAGACCAGUAAAUGUACUAGAGUAUCUUUUGUAAAAGUAAUGAAGUCUUUGUAAUAUGAGAUCUCAUGACAGCCCUCUACUAUUAAUAAUCUUUACUGAGAGCAGAGUGAGACUGCUGGGUUUUGUGUGAGAAUUAUUGUAUCUGCAGAUUAGCAAAGUGAAAAUGAAUCAAGUUUGACUGUAUCAAAAACAAUUUGCAAAAGAAGUUGCCCACUAAGCAGCUUGCGAUGACUCUGAACAGGGACAUGAAGAGCUGUCAUUAAUUCAUAUUGAGAACCCACUGUUUCAUUUUUUACUAGGUACUUUAAGAACAAUAAGCCCAAUUUGUUGGUGAGAUUUCAUAGUAAUUGGACUCUGUUCUCCCCAGUGGCUAAGUAAUUGUCCAAGUAGUAAAUUAGGCAUUAAAUGGUUCAUAGUGGCCUAAGACAUUUAAUGUGCCACCAGGGAGCAAUUUAAAGGACGGGAAAAUUUGAUUCACUGAGGCCCACAGGUACCAUAUAGAAUGUAUACAAUACCUGCCCUCUAGGAGUUUAUAAUCAAGGCAAGGUAUGACAUCACACAUAAAAAUUUCACACUGGCACAUAUAGAUUAUUUCUUUAUCCAGACAUGAUUUUAUUGGUGUAAGGAACCACUAAUGAGGAAACUCCAUAGAAGGAGUUGGCAAUGAAGGAGUUAGCCAUGAAAGACUGGCAACUCUUUGGUAACUAAUGAUCUUUUUUAAAA